CACGUAGGGUGCGAGCGUUGUCCGGAAUUAUUGGGCGUAAAGAGCUCGUAGGCGGUUUGUCGCGUCGGCCGUGAAAACUUGGGGCUUAACUCCAAGCUUGCGGUCGAUACGGGCAGACUUGAGUUCGGCAGGGGAGACUGGAAUUCCUGGUGUAGCGGUGAAAUGCGCAGAUAUCAGGAGGAACACCGGUGGCGAAGGCGGGUCUCUGGGCCGAUACUGACGCUGAGGAGCGAAAGCGUGGGGAGCGAACAGG
rnacentral:rRNA from 1 species